rnacentral:rRNA from 1 species
UACGGAGGGUGCAAGCGUUGUCCGGAUUUAUUGGGUUUAAAGGGUGCGUAGGCGGCUUUUUAAGUCAGUGGUGAAAUCCUGCAGCUUAACUGUAGGCGUGCCAUUGAUACUGGAAGGCUUGAGUACAGACGAGGUUGGCGGAAUUUAUGGUGUAGCGGUGAAAUGCAUAGAUACCAUAAAGAACACCGAUUGCGAAGGCAGCUAACUAGGCUGUUACUGACGCUGAGGCACGAAAGUGCGGGGAUCGAACAGG